GCUUAACACAUGCAAGUCGAGCGAGAAUCGUUUAUUGAAGGCUUCGGCUGGAAAUAGAUGAGGAAAGCGGCGAACGGGUGAGUAACGCGUGGGCAACCUGGCCUUAAGAAAAGGAUAGCCCCCGGAAACGGGGAGUAAUACUUUAUGAGAAUAGAAAAGGGCAUCCUAUUUCUAUUCAAAGCGCAAGCGCUUAAGGAUGGGCCCGCGUAUCAUUAGCUAGUUGGUGAGAUAACAGCCCACCAAGGCAACGAUGAUUAGCCGGUCUGAGAGGGCGAACGGCCACAUUGGAACUGAGAGACGGUCCAAACUCCUACGGGAGGCAGCAGUGGGGAAUAUUGCGCAAUGGAGAAGAACUCUGACGCAGCAAUACCGCGUGAGCGAAGAAGGUCUUCGGAUCGUAAAGCUCUGUUAUCAGGGAAGAAGAAAAUGACGGUACCUGAUGAGCAAGUCCCGGCUAACUACGUGCCAGCAGCCGCAGUAAAAC
rnacentral:rRNA from 1 species